GAUGAAGAACGCAGCGAAAUGCGAUACGUAAUGUGAAUUGCAGAUUUCAGUGAAUCAUCGAAUCUUUGAACGCACAUUGCGCCCGCCAGUAUUCUGGCGGGCAUGCCUGUUCGAGCGUCAUUUCAACCAUCAAGCGCCUCGCUUGUGUUGGGGCCCUGCGGCUGCCGCAGGCCCCUAAAUCCAGUGGCGGGCUCGUCGUCGUACCGAGUGCAGUAAACAUCCUCGCUCAGGGAACCCGACGGGUGGCGGCCGUGAAACCCCCCCUCCUCAAGGUUGACCUCGGAUCAGGUAGGAAUACCCGCUGAACUUAAGCAUAUCAAUAAGCGGAGGA
rnacentral:misc_RNA from 1 species